UACGGAGGGUGCGAGCGUUGUCCGGAAUCACUGGGCGUAAAGGGCGCGUAGGUGGCGCGACAAGUCAACGGUGAAAGCUCGGCGCUCAACGCCGAGUCGGCCGUCGAUACUGUCGGGCUGGAGCACUGUAGAGGCAGAUGGAAUUCCGGGUGUAGCGGUGGAAUGCGUAGAGAUCCGGAAGAACACCGGUGGCGAAGGCGGUCUGCUAGGCCGCAACUGACACUGAGGGACGAAAGCUAGGGGAGCGAAUGGG
rnacentral:rRNA from 1 species